rnacentral:rRNA from 1 species
AUGUGGUCGGGCAUCAAGUGCAGCACAAUGCACCCAGAGCGUGUUACAGUAGUAAACCUUGCGAACAUGAGCUUGACAGGCCAAAUCACACCCUCUCUAGGAAAUCUAACCUUCCUUCAGGAACUUACACUAUCCAACAAUCUCUUCUCUGGCCAGUUGCCCCCUCUCAAUUGUCUUAUAAGAUUAGAGAUCCUUUACCUACAGAACAACUUGUUGCAGGGGAACAUUCCGAAUGCACUUACAAAUUGUUCCAAACUCCUUGGACUAGACCUCUCUUCUAACAUGCUAGUGGGUUCGAUUCCUGGAAAUAUAGGUUCCCUCUACAAUCUAAUGGGAAUUGACCUUUCCAAUAAUAGCCUCACAGGAAACAUUCCACCAACCUUCGGCAACAACACUUACUUAGAAGAGCUACGACUUACCCACAAUCAACUCAAAGGAAGCAUUCCCGAAGAGCUUGGGAAAUUGCCGGACAUGACAAAGGACCUUGCGGUGUUUCUCGGUCAGAAUAGGCUAUCAGGUAGAGUUCCAGCAACAUUGUUUAAUCUAUCCAAGCUUAUAAUACUGGACCUAAGUACAAAUAAGCUAAGGGGCACAUUACCAUAUGAUAUUGGUAAUCUAUCUGUCGCGCUUCAAUGGCUAGUUUUGGGUGCAAACAACUUGUCUGGGACAGUGCCACCGAGCAUUGGGGCCCUAAAGAACCUUACAGUUUUAGAUCUUGGAGGAAACAACUUCGUUGGACCAAUACCAUAUUCCGUCGGGAAUCUGCCAAAGUUAUGGAAGCUUGAUCUUUCCAAUCAUUUUGAUAGUUGGUAG